UGCCAGCCGCCGCGGUAACACGGGGGGUGCAAGCGUUAUUCGGAAUCACUGGGCGUAAAGAGCGCGUAGGCGGUCUCUUAAGUCAGAUGUGAAAGCCCGGGGCUCAACCCCGGAAGUGCAUUUGAAACGGAGGGACUUGAGUAUGGGAGAGGGAAGUGGAAUUCCUGGUGUAGCGGUGAAAUGCGUAGAUAUCAGGAGGAACACCGGUGGCGAUGGCGACUUCCUGGACCAAUACUGACGCUGAGGCGCGAAGGCGUGGGGAGCAAACAGGAUUAGAUA
rnacentral:rRNA from 1 species